GAUGGUGGGCCCAUCGCAGGAGAUGACAGGCAUAUCCUGCAAACCACCUUGUGGUGCUUUGCUACGAAAGUACAAGGUGCUGAGCGACAAGGAAAAGGCAGACUGGAUCUGUCAGGU
rnacentral:ncRNA from 1 species